rnacentral:rRNA from 1 species
AGAGUUUGAUCCUGGCUCAGAACGAACGCUGGCGGCGUGGAUAAGACAUGCAAGUCGAACGCGAUUUAUCGAGUUAGCAAUAACUUGGUAAAUUGAGUGGCGAAAGGGUGCGUAACACGUGGGAAAUUACCAAGAAGUGGGGGAUAGCUCGGCGAAAGCCGAAUUAAUACCGCAUAUGAUCGCAAGAUCAAAGCCGGGGACCGCAAGGCCUGGCGCUUUUUGAGAUGCCCGCGGCCCAUCAGCUAGUUGGCGAGGUAAAAGCUCACCAAGGCUAUGACGGGUAGCUGGUCUGAGAGGACGACCAGCCACACUGGAACUGAGACACGGUCCAGACACCUACGGGUGGCAGCAGUCGAGAAUUUUUCACAAUGGGGGAAACCCUGAUGGAGCGACGCCGCGUGGAGGAUGAAGGUUUUCGGAUUGUAAACUCCUGUCACUGCAGAACAAGGGUGUGUUUGUGAAUAGCAAGCGCAUUUGAUGGUAUGCGGAGAGGAAGGGACGGCUAACUCUGUGCCAGCAGCCGCGGUAAGACAGAGGUCCCGAGCGUUGUUCGGAUUCAUUGGGCGUAAAGGGUGUGUAGGAGGUCGGGUAAGUCAGGUGUGAAAUCUCAGAGCUUAACUCUGAAACUGCGCUUGAUACUGCCCGGCUAGAGGAUCGGAGGGGGUAUCGGAAUUCAUGGUGUAGCAGUGAAAUGCGUAGAUAUCAUGAGGAACACCGGUGGCGAAGGCGGAUACCUGGAAGAUUCCUGACUCUGAAACACGAAAGCCAGGGGAGCAAACGGGAUUAGAUACCCUAGUAGUCC